rnacentral:tmRNA from 1 species
GGGGACGACUGGUUUUGACAGCAAGAUUAGGUAAAAUGUAAGCAUACCGAGGAAUGAAAUCACUACUCGUAACACUUAUUUCAUCAUUUUAAACGGCGAAGAUAACUACGCUUUAGCAGCUUAAUAACCCGAAUCACAGUACGGUUUUAGCCUCGGCACACUAGGUGUGCAUGCUUUAUGUCCACGAAAAGCCUUGGUUUAUGGCGUUUCUUUUUUGGACAUCGUAAAAGUAAACCUAGAAAACUUGGAACUUUGACUCGUUUUUGAAACUUAAGAAGUUAAGCUUAAAGCAGAUUGUUUUUGAUCAGCUUUUUGUCGAAAAUUAAACAAAAACUAAGUAUGUAGAAAGCUUUUUGGUUACUUGUUUGGACCCGAGUUCGAUUCUCGGCGUCUCCACAA